AGACUCUUGGAAGCCUAUAUGAGGAAGGAAUACCACAGCUCGCUCGCUUGCUUUCUCUCUUUCCGAAGUUUUAUCUAUUUAUUUUUUUCUAAGAUUAGUCGCGCUCCCAAAGAGCAGGUGCAAGCUUUGCACUGUGAUGCUCUGCAGACCUGAAUCCUCCGUGCAGUCGCCUCCUUAGCCUGGCCAAGCGCGCGCACCCGGGAAGCCAUGGGACUGGAUCCCGGCCCGGACUAGUUUUAUGCUAAUGAACGCUCAGUGGGGGAGGACCUACCGAGAGGGGGCGGGAGUGGGGCAACUCGUCAGUUCUGGGGUAGAAAUGCUCAUUUGACCCCAUUUCAGAGUUCUGUCUUGCCCCACCGUUGGCUGCAGAGAAGCGCAGAGGGAAAAGUUCAGAGAUGCUGGGAGGAAGCGAGUAGGGGAAGUUGUAGCCCUGAAGCGGGCGCGACGGAACUGCGCGCAAAAUUUGUGCGAGGUGUUUCGUGCGCGUCAAAUGAAAAGUCUAAAGACCGGAAGAAGCAAUUGAGUUUUACAUUUUUAGGUUGCGUGCUCCAGGUAGAGUUAGGGAAUCUGGGAUGGGAAGCAAAGAGGGGUAGGAUGAGACUAGAAGGAAACGAGUGAAAAAGCCCCGAACUAUUUCUUCCUUGGAAGAAGACUCUUGGCUAGUGCCCUCAGAAGGCUGUAAAGCGAAAAAGAUGCCAACCCCAAACCAGCAAAUACCUCAUCCUGACCUAGUCAGGAACUUCUUCGAAUAUUUAUUUGCCAUUCUUCGCAAAUGGGGCAUUUCUGCUAUCUUUGUAUGAAUGGGGUGUGUGUGUGUAUACAUACGUGGGCUCGUGCCCAGGUGUAUGGACAGGUGGUAGUGAAGAUUGUGGGGAAUCUUGAUUACUAAACGUCAUUUACUCAGAUAAUUGGAAUACUUAGAAGUCCAGAAGACAAAAUGUUUGCCAAAAAUCUAUUAUUAAAACUAGUUGAAUCAGGGCAGAAAAUUGUUACGGAGUUGUUAUAUAAAGGAUGCUAGUUGAAAUUUGAAAGCCAGUUCAGAUGUGGAUGUUAUAAAAUUGCCUACCUAUGUAGUAAAUUGGUGAAGCGCUACUAUUUUUCUCUUUAGUAAUCAGACGUUCACUCUGCCCUUGCAUCUUCUUUGUGUGUUUCUUACAGCACACACGGUACUGUAAUAAUCAAUGACCAUUUCAUAUAUGCAAGAAAAUUGCUCGAGAAACUUCCUUCAGUGACUGAAACGUUAUGAUCAAAGUAAAACAGGUAGCGUUACACCUCUUACAGUUAUUCUCUUCAUCUUUUUUCCCCCCUGAAAUUUUGUACCAAGACUUUGGAAUUUAAGUCCUCUCCACGUGCUUGUAGAAUACUUCUAAAGUUAUUAACUAAUUUUUUUUAAUGUAAGGUUUUUUAAAAUCUGAGAGUAACAAUAGCUCUCGAGUUUAAAUGUACAGAACCAGGACAAGUUAAAACCAGUAGAACAGUUUACCCUUCAAAAACAACUCAUAUCUCAUCACUACACUAAUUGUAUUUCAAUCACCUGGUCUUAAUAUUUUGCAAUUAAAUGUGUUGUUUUAAAAGUCUAUUUUAGAUUAUUUUUUAAGUUUAAAUAUGGUAAAUUUAUUGAUUUACUAUGGCAGAGUGAUCUUUUAGGACUACCCAACUUACUCAAACUUAAAAAUAUGCAGAUAUUGUAGUUAGUAACCUUAGAAGAUGUAUAGUUGCAGAUAUCUACCUAGGUUUUCCUAGCUGUGCCACUGAUCUAAGAAAUAGAAGACUUAUAACGGAAAGUAUGUUGUUUGCAUCGUAAGAGACUUUUCUGUUUUAAUGUCAAUUACAAGUAUUGUCUUAUUUUCUAACAGUGAAAGCAAUAAAUUAAAAUGUUUUGCAUCUUAAACUUAUGAAACUGAAGUUACUUUUGUCAUUCAAGUCCAGUUUAUGCCUUUGGUAUCAAGAUCCUUUUUUAUUCAUCUAGAUAUAUUGAUUUCUUUCACUCUUGUUCUUUCUCCUCUGGCUUCUUAAGAGACUAUCAAAGGGAAUAAUUUAUGCAGUGGAUAAGAGAAACUGUGCAAAAAGGCAAACCACGUAAAAUAAUAUGUGGUGCACAAGAAACAUUAAAUCUUAGCAUAAGUAGUUUUUUUCCAAAACAUAUCUAGUUCUGUCUCACAACUGCAUUUACCAGACGUUUUUCUAGAUACCAGGGAAUCUGAGGAACAAAAAUUAUGCUAAAGAAAAGAAAGGUUCAUAAACUUGCUUAAAGUGACUCAGUUAGUAGCAAACCUUAGAGUGGAAUUAAUUUGCUUAGGGCUAUUGCAUCAAUAUGCUAACUAUGAAAACUAGGAUAAAUGCUGAAACCAUCUGUCAUUACCACAAAGAGAUGGGAAAGAGAAUAUCACCUGCUACCUAGUAAAGCUAAAAGUAAGGGUAUCAAAACAUGGAAGAAAUUGUAAGGAAAUGUAUUUGAAAGUUUUCAAAGGACAAAGUCUAACCUUGAUCAGUUUCCUCCAAUUAUUAUUUUUCGAACUGAACGUUAGUUGCAUGAACUUGGCUGUUGCAAUAGAGGUCAGUUAAUUAACUGGUAAUCCUUAAACAACGACAAAAAUAAGAAAAGUAAUUAUGUACAUGGUCAAGUCUCUGUUUGCAUAAAUCAAUUGUUUGUAGGUUUGAGUUAGGAUUCAAUUUUCCGUGAACUCAGGUAAUAAAGAGUGACUCUGUCCUAUUGUUUUAUCUAAAAUUCUUAUUUCUUUGAAUACUGCUGGGAUAUUAUUUCUGCUUCAGGAUCUUUCAAAGCAGAUUGUGACUUGGGCCUUAUGUAGUUUUAGAUUUGUGGCAUAUUAACUUAAAUAGAUUUCGGUUAGUUUUAUUAGACUUAUGUACAUACAUAUAUUCACAGAAAAUACUCUUUUGUCUUAAAAGAUACCAUCUGUUGACAGCAAAUUGAAAGACUUCCCAAGCCUUCAAUGUUCUGUAGAUGCAUAUGAAUGAAACUUUAGGACAAGACGUGCAAAAUAUUUUCCAACUCUUGGUUCUACUUAUUUAUCAGGGUUUUUGUUUUUCAUUAAUUUUAAUAAGAUGGCAUGCUGAACCAGUCUAUAUUUAUUUAACAUUUCCUCCACUGCAUGCUUUUUAAUGGCAUAGAUACAGAAAGUUUGAAAAUGAAUGCAGAUUCACUUUUAACACUUAAUUACAUGCUUCUUACAGAGAAAUUCAAUAAUUACUUCAAAUGAAGAGGGGCUAUGCUUCUGAAGUUUUUGUAUUAUAGUAGAUUAAUGUUUCUUAUAAAGCCUAAUGUUUCCUUUUAUAACUUCAAGAAAGAAUAUAUCAUAAUUAGAAGAGUAAAGCUUAAAGUACAAGUUUAGUUCCACUGCUUAUUUCUAUGUUUUUAAAUUGUUAGCAAAUUAUAGUUUAAUUAAUAUAUGAAUAAAAUCUAAGAAUAUCUUAACCUAGGAUUUGCCUUGUUCAAUGACAUUAUAUUGCAGAAUGCAAACUCUUGAGUUAUUUGGAUGUCUUUCAAACCUGUUGUUUUUCUUGGAGUUAGUUUCCAAUAAUAUCUUAGCCAUUAUUGUAAAACAGUGUACAUAGAAGAUGGUUUACUUUCUGACCUCCCUAGAUUAUUAGUUAAUGCUCUGAAGCACGCAAUUGGAUUCACGGAUAUGAUAUUUUACUUUGUGCGGCUUCAAAUAUUAUAUAGAAGAAGCUACAAGACAGGCAAUUUUUCCAGAAUUCCCUUACACACAAUUCUAUGUUUUAGCUUUUGGAACGGAAUUUUCAAAUCUUUAUUAGUCCAAAUCAGCUGUUAUUUUUUGUUUACUGCAUUGAAUUUCACGGAAAUUGCGUGUAAUUUACUGAAACAAAUAUUAGCCACCCUCUUGUUUCCUCACUACCUCCCCCAGCACCCUGAGAUGUGACACCCAAUAUUGAUUAAAGUCUUGGCUGGAUUUGAACAUAAAUCACUCUUCUCUUUGGCGAUUUACUAUGUGUGAUUCACCAGCACAAGAAAACACAGUAUGCUUUAUCGUUUCUCAUUUGAUGUUUUGUUUUUGGAUGUAAGUAGCGUUUGUAAAUUAGCUUAAUGUUUAACCCAGUAGUUGUUAUUUAAGAACAAUUUGUGCUUUGACUCUCAAUUAGUAUUAUUUUGUCUUUCCAAGUUACUCUACUAAAUUGUUUCAUACAAUUGCCUUUGUCAAUCAAGUAAAAUAAUCAUUUAAAUUGUAUUAGCAACAUAGAACACAAGUAUUGCAAAAUAUAAUACGAAAUGCAACUCUCCCAUGUUGUAAACUGUCUUCCUUUGAAUCCUUGUCUGGAGAAAUUAGUUUACAGUAUGCCUUCUAAAUAGGUACAGGUGAGUCUUUCAGAGUUUAUUAAACAUGUAGAUUUUAAGGUUUUUGUUACUUGGUUCUUUUAAAAAGUUAAACUUUAUCUGAAUUUUAUCUUUCAAGGAUUUCUUUGUCAGAUUAUUCACAAAAAAAAAACAUCAAGUUAUGUACCUUUAAAAUGACAGGAAAUGUAAAAAUUGAUCUUAACUAUUUGGGUAUUUACAAAUGAAAUUAAAAUAGUGUUUUAUCAUUUUAUGUUGAAAUAGUUAUAAAAAUAGAAUGACUUAGCUUGUGUCAUUCUCUUAACUAAGGUAAUGCAUUAUGAUUGGUCAGUUAUAGUUUUGUGUGUGUGUGUGUGUGUGUGUGUAUUGUCUAAAUGCUGCAGCUUAAAUAUUUUAGCUGGGAACAAACUUCUAUUUAUAUUUUCAGACUUUGAGACUACAUUAAGAAGCCCCUUUUCCACUGUAUUUUGUUUUCUCAGUAAUUAAUUUUCCUAAAGAAGAAAACACUGAAUUAAAAAUCUGCUUUAUGGAGCUUAGAUAAACAUAAUAUUAAAGGCUCUGAUCUGCACAGAUGUAUAUCUGAGGCACAGCAGAGGCUCUCAGUGAGCCUACUUCGUUCUCACAUUCCUUUCCUUUUCCUCAACUUGCCAGAAAUAUUUCUUGUAGAAAGUUUUUGUUUUUUUUUUUUGCUACAGUAGCUGUCUUUUUAAAUAAGUUUUUGUAGCUGAAAUUUGCUUUCUAGCGUACAUCACAGAACAGGAGUGACUUAUUAGAACAGUUACUUCACCAAAUUAUUUCUUUCUGAAACAAGAAUACCAAGGAUAAGAUGUUUAUAUUUGGUCUAGCAAUUCGUAUUUGGAUUAACUGACAGUCACUUUAUUUUUAUGCAGCAGUGCUAUUUGCUUUAAGAAGUACGUAAGAGUUUUUUGAAGAGUGUUUCUUGCUGCUCAUUGUAGACAGUGCAUGACUAUGCUUGAAUGUGCAACUGACUAUGAACAGAAUUUUCAACCCAGUAUGAGUUAGUCAAUUAGACAAUAAACCAGUGAAAACACAUUGUUUUUCAACUUAAUAAAGGUAUUAAAAUUAGUAGAAUAAAAUAGCAGAUAAAUGUCUAAUUAAAAAAAAAAAGUCAAAUCAUAUAUAGAGAAUGACCCAAAUCACCACUUGGUUCAAAUUGAGGACCUCGAACCAGGUACAUUUUAAAUAUUUUGGUGUAUUCUGACAUGUUUUUAGGAGGAUUUUAACUUACCCAUUUAAAAUAUAUAUAUUUUUAGAUUUUUCCAAAUUGUAUACUGAGUUAUCCAAUGAUUGCAUUUUGCCAGAGGUGUGGCCCUGUUGCUUUCUGAUCCAAAUUGGCUUGGUGUUGAUCCAGGAUGUCAAGCUGGGAUUCUUCUGCACCUUAAAUAGCAGUUUCGAGAAGACUCCUCUUGCCACUAAUACUAACAAAUGAAGGUGAUAAAUUUAACGCAUAAAAAUAAUUUUUAUUUUAGUUGGAUUCACUUGUUGUCAUGUGGAAUGGGACUAAGUUGGAAAACAAGUUAAUAGUAUGUUCAGAAUAAAGAGGAAUUUAGGUAUGUAGUAGUUUGCUUAAUUUCUUGAAUAUAAAAAUGCUGUAUUAUAUAUACCCAAAUGCGUAACUGAUAUACAGUACUCAGGGGCAUAGUAUCUCUUUGCUUCUACCUGACAGUGUUAUAUGUAUCACCAUUAGAUGACAGAAUGAGGACGUACCUCUCCAUACAGCUCAAUCUUACAUUCAUGAAAAUACAUAAUAAAUGGGAAAGCAACAUACACACACAUAUAAAUAUAUAUAUACAUCCCAAAAUAUCUGCUAUUACAAUUAUGACAGUUAAGUAAUUCCAUGAUUGGAUUUUGGAAAUAAGGUUAAUAAAUUCCUUUCCCAAUUUAAAAAAAAAAAAAACAAU